rnacentral:lncRNA from 1 species
GGGGAGAGGCUAUUAAAGGCAGCUGGGACAUUUCCCCCCAGAGGCCACUCCCUCUCACCCCAGCAGGCUGUAAUUUCUAAGCUGUGAACUUUUCAAGGUAAAUUAACAGAGAUGGGAAAAGAUGGCUCAGCUGUUUGUUUUGUUUUGUUUUGUUUUGUUUUUCUCCCACAGGUUUACAUAGUUGAGCUAAUACAAGUUUCUUUAAAAAAAAAAAAAAUCAAACACAUAUUCAAAUGCCAGACCCAUCUUGCUGCCUACUGGUGAUUUAUAAAAGACUGCUGUAUAUAAAACAUUGGAUAUUGCAGACCAAAUUAAGUGUUUUGCCUUGUAAAAUGCAUGUUUAGCGAGCGCUAAUACAAUCUUACUAC